CCCUGGACUGAGGCUGGAAACAGGGCAGCUCCCCCAUGGCCGAGGCUCCUGCAACAGCCAGGCUUUCCUCAGGACCCCUGCUCUGUGUCUCAGGGGUGCUGAGAUCCUGUUCUUGGCUGGAGGACUGUGGCUUACAGGCUGAGUCUCCCUUCUUGCUCUCCCUGUUGGUCCAGGGUGAAUAAGAGACUAUGGUGAAUCCUCUUCUGCAGGGCUGAGGCUGCAGGGACCAGCUCUGCCCUGUGUCCUGUUAACGAUGUUUCUAGAAUGCUCAGCAUCCACCAGUGCAGGUCCUGCUCUUGGGGUGCAUCUUGGAGUCUCACCACCCACACUUCACCAGGCUCCAGCAGCAAUUUCCAGUGCUGCCCUGGGGUCCUCAGGGCCCUGUCUGGGGUCAUCUUCUGUAGGUAGAUGGUAUCAUAGCAGCCCACCAUGGAGACAAGCUGCAGGGCCAGUAACUAGGCCUCAGCCUCGGCAGGGUCCACUGCCCAGGUAAUGCCCAGCUUCAACACCACGGGCUCCCCUGGGGGCAGGUCCACUUUGAGAAACCCCUGCUAUGAAGGAAAGAAGCUUGGCCAGUGUGAGCAGGUAAGAAGCUCCUCAAAUCUCCAGGGAAGACCCUGGGUCCAGUCAGCAUCCUCAAGGCCCAGGCCCAGGGGCACAGCCUCCUGAGGCCAUAGUUCAGUGGGGACAAAGUGGGGGUCCAGACCUGCAUCUUCCAACCCUUCUGGGGCUGCUGCCAGGGUCCCUGGCCCCCAUGCCUCAGAGCCCCCCUGCACAGGCUGUCCUGGGCUCUGCCCCCAGCUCAGCUCCAUCCCUGAGGACCCCUCCUGCUCUGACUCUGCCUCAGU
rnacentral:lncRNA from 1 species